UUUUUUUUUUUUUUUUUUUUUGCACAGCGUUCACUGAAGGGACAGAGAUAAUGCAAACAGACAGGGUAAUUAGACAUCAUAGAAAUAAUUUAGAAGUAUCAUUCAAGAGCUAUAAAAAUUGACAUUUAAAUCAUUACUUACAAAACUAAUUUCCAGUUUUUUCAAACAUUACAUGCAUUUGAUAUGAGUUAAGUAACAUCUUUUUUACACAGGUCCUUGGGAAUAAAAUUGCCAAAAUAUUAAAAAUGGUUUCCACUACAAAUUUUACCACCCCUAAACAAGCAUGCACUGUACUUCACAUAUACAAGCCAAUAUGAAAGACUUUUAAAGAAGUAAUUGAUAAAUACCCAAUUUAGUGUUAUCCUCUACAUUUAAAUGUUCCUUUAUAUAAAAAUAUCAAACUUUGUCCACAAUGUUUUAUACUUAUCAACAGAAUAAUGAUUAAAAAAAAUUGGUACCAGAUUAGCAAAAUUUAUUAUUACUGAAUGCAUAUAUAAUUUGAUAUCCUUAACCAACCCAAGACUAUCUUUCUGACUUGUUGAAAAUAUCAAUACUGAAAAUCAGUAUGAUUUACUUUUCAUAUGAUCACACUCAAAAUUCUUUGCAGUUUGUAAUAUUUUAUGCCUGGAAAUAUAUAUUUUCAUUGAGAAACAAAUUCAAAGAGGCACUUUAAUUCCUCUCCACCACAAGUGACCCAAUAGAAAAGUCUGUAUAACAUUACAAGUUUCAAUGAGGUUUGAAUCCUUGCGAAGGGGCAAUUUUAAGCUAUUUUUCCUUUUGAAAACUCUCACAAAAAAAAAAAAUAAAAAAAAAAAUCUAUAUUUCCUCCUAGACAGGAGACUCUUGCAUGCUUUGCUAAAACUGAUUAAAUAAAGACAUUAUUGUCAAUGUUUACUAUCAUCAAAAUCUUUUAGAAUGAUAGUUUAAAAUAAAUAUAAGUACUAAUUACAGAAAUAAAUUUUGUUAUUGAUCCAGGGAGUAGUCAUCAAUAUUAGCUAAACAAAGCAUACUCUGAGAACCAUAAUAUCCAUAAUGUUAAUUUUUCCCAUGUCUGUGCAACACUGGGAUAAAUAAUAAAAAAUUUUUAAUAUUACCAAAUGAUAGAAAAUGUUAAUAAAUUAAAAACUUCAGCCCUGUGAACUUCAUCUAAUAAAGGAUAUGGAAUGCAAUUGUUGCAAUGCAAAAUUUCCCAUAAUUCUAUUUUAUCAUGAGAAAUUAAAGAAUUCUGUAAAAAUUAGGCAAAAACAAUUUAGAGUUUGAAAUAUCUCAGCUAUAGAAACCAACACUACUAAAACUUAAAAAAAGUAAGAGAGUUAAAAAGAGUAAACCUGCUACAGGACAUUUUACCUAAUAUAAACAAUAAUAGUUCACUGCAUUUUUAAUAAAUAAAUGAUAUGGAUAUUGUCUCAAUUUCAAAACAAAACAAAACAAAAAAUUCUGCCAAUGUAAACAUAAAUGAAAAUCUGUGUCUCGUCAAAUACUUUACUUUCAACAAAUCAUGAAUAAAAAUCAAUCAUCUUCUGUAUACCAGGUAAGAACCUUUUUUUUUAACUUUGUUACUUAUUACAUUAUAUAUUAAAGUCAAUUUUAAAAACUGAUCUUCAUUACAUAAACACCUCAUAUUUUUACAUGGUAAAAAUGUAACUGUUUAUCUUAUUAAUUAAACCGGACACAAUAAUUCUGGAAAGAAAAUUUAAUUCUCUACACAAAUCCAUACAAAAUUAUCUCAUGAUCUUGAUAGAAUGACACUUUCAUAAACCCCACUUAAAUAUGAGAAAGGAUAAGCCAUAUAUACAUUGCUGUAUAAUGUUUUAUAUAAUCAUUUAGAACAGGGGUCGGCAACCUGCGGCUCUUUUGAUGUAAUCUUGCGGCUUUCCAGUUCCAUACGGAAAAACUAUUAAUUUAUUAUCAAAACUCUUAAAAAAUAAGAAAAUAUAUUUUUCAGUACCUAAUUUCUCAAUAGCUUUUAUUUUCAUAAUCGUUAAUUACACUUAACAUGACCGUAAUGAGAUAAACUUGAUUCAUUGUUACUGUACUGUUAAUUUAAAUUAGCUCCGCCGUCAGCAUGGCAGCUGGUAAAAAAAAAGAGAACUGAAGAAGAAAACCGAGAAUUCAAUCAGGAUUAGGCGGAGUCAUUUGCAUUCAUAUGUAACACAGAUGGCCUUCCGAGUUCUCUCAUUUGCCAACAAAAACUCGCACACAAUAAGAAGUCAAAUUUGGGGAGACACUUCACUACAAAAUAUACCCAGUUUGCUGGUAAAUAUCCAACUGGAGACGCACGAAAAAAGCUCUUGAAGAGCUAAAAAAAAAGUUAUGUGCUAAGUAACUGGGCACAAUCUUCCAAAUGUAAAUCUGCCAAGCUCUGCAGUAUCAUUAGAAAUUGCAAAAAGAGUAAAACCAUUCACGUCAAAUACGUCAAAGAUUGUUUUAUAUGUGCAUCUGAAUAACUGUUUUGAGAUAUUAAAAUCAAAGCAGAAAUCAGGGAAAAAUCAAAGAUUUACGAUUAUCUGCAAAAGCAGUACAAGAUAGAACUGCUAAGAUGUUUUCAAAUGUAACAAAUAUGCAAGUGGAAGACAUUCAGUCGGCUUCUGCCUUAUCACUUGCUAUAGAUGAGUCUUCUGACAUAAAAGACACGACACAAGUUACCCUUUUCGUAGGGUAUAUGUCCUCCCAAGGUCCAAACGAAGAACUGUAGGAUUGCUAUCGCUCUCAGGACAAAUUCUCAUGUAGAAGAUAUAGCAAAUGCUUGUGCAAAAAUGCCUGGAAGACAAUGGAAUUGAUAUAAAUAAAAUCGUUUCGAUAGCAACUGAUAGAGCCAGAAGUAUGAAAGGAAUACAUAGAGGGGUAACAUCAAUUCUUCAGAAAAAAGUAAACCAUGAAAUUCUAAUGUUUCACUGUGUAAUUCACCAAAAAGCACUUUUUGCCUAAACAUUUCCGGCUGAAAUAGUUGAGGUAAUUAAGCUUAUUAACAACAUUUUGCAAAAGUACUCUACCAUCACCAUCUCAAAGAUUUCCUUGACAGAUAACCAGUUUUCUGACCAACUUCUGCACAAUAAAGUGCGAUGGCAUUCCAGAGGUAACUUAUUGCAAUGUUUUACUUUGUGCUUCAGUGAAAUAAAAACAUUCAUCAAUGAAAAAAGCAUUGACCAUCCCGAAUUGGAAAAAGACAAACGGCUGCAGAACUUCUACUUCAUGGUAGAUACCACAAUGAAACUAAAUGAACUAAAUCUAAAACUGCAAGAAAGGGGCAACCCAGCGUACACCUUACUUAAAGAAAUAAUUUGUUUCGAAAACAAAUUACUUAUUUUGUUUAAGACAUAGAGAGCAGUAAAUUAAUUCAUUUUAAAAAUCUGAAGUAUAUCACAAUGAGACCAAUGCGACUAUUGACACAAAUUACUUCAACAUAGCUUUAAAUAACAUGACGGAUGGAUUCGCCGAGAGAUUCGAAUUCAAAACAAACAAAAGUACUCUUGCGUUCAUAGUAAAUCCUCUCAACGCAAAUAUAAAUGAUAUCAACAAUGAGAUAUUUGGAAUUGAUGGUGGAUCGCUUCAAAUGCAACAGCUGUAUUCGAAAACCAAAGACUUGUGGAGUGGCAAGUUCACAGAACUCAAGAGCCAGAUGGAAGAGUCUAGAUUCAUGCACAUCAAGCAGCACAAGAGGGCAGCUCUAAAAGAAAUUUCGCGAGUUGAGGCCCUCAUAUUUAGGGCAUGGAAUAGUCUUCCAGAAUGGUACAGUGAGGUGAAGAAGUUGGCAUAUGGAGUACUGACGAUCUCCGGGUCGACAUAUUCGUGCGAGCAAGCGUUCUCUUGCAUGAAUAUAAUAAAAAUGUAACGUUUGAAAUCAACUAACAAAUAAAAAUCUAGAGUUGUGCUUCAAACUUAAAACAACAAGUUAUAAGCCAGAUUUAGUCAUUCAUUCAAAAGGCAUGCAAAGCCAAUGCUCCAACAGAUGUAACUACCUAUAUUUGUACAUGUUUAUAUAUAUAUAUAUUAUUCCGUAUUUAAAGCCGUUAAUUUCUCUGUGUUGCAAUCAUAUGAUAUAAGUCAAAAAUCAAAUAUAUAUAAGCAAAACUAUAAUACUGAAACGAAACUUUUUAGUGGCUCUUUAAAAACUGGGAAAUUUUGUAAAUUGUAACUUUUGGCUCUGCCGUUUCAAUAGGUUGCCAAGCCCUGAUCUAGAACCACAUAACAGGUAGCACAUUUGUAUUUCCACAAAGCCCGAUUACUGUUAGGCCUACAGUUCCAAAAAUUUUCCAGCAGUUUUUCAAAAUAUUGUUUUUUUUUGGUACUUUUCGGUUAUGCACCUGACACAUUUAAUUGCACCUGUGAAAGAAAAGCCUAACACAUGCGAGACCCCACCAUACAUGUGCUGUUGAGAAACAAAAUAAUGCCUGGAUUAUAAAAUUCUAAAUAUAUUAAAUAUGUUGAAGUGACUCAGGUAUUAAAAUAUGAUGAAAUGUAUAUAAAAGAGGAAUAAUUGUAUUAUUGAAUAAUUGUAUAUAAAAGAGGUAUAAUUGUAUUUGAGAAAGCACAAUAUUUGCAGAUAUUUAUCCAAUCGCCAUUCAUAUUUUUCCCUCUAAAGACUGACAUAUAAACAUGGAAACGAGUACAACUAGCUUACUUAUAUAACCUUGAAUGAGAAGUUUACUUCAGCCUGGAAACGAUACACCAAAGUUAUCUUACACUAAUGAAAUUAUUUUAGGGAACAUACAUGAUCAAUGUGCAUGAUAACAAGAUGACAACAAUCAUUGAAAUUUUGGAUAAAAAAAAAUUCA